AUGGCACCUCUAGAUGAUGUUGGUUCUCGAAGAUUGUUCUUUAAGAGAAUUUUCAGCUCAGAUGAUCCCUGUCCCGCAGAACUGGAAGAAGUUUCUACUACGAUCUUAAAAAAAUGCGGUGGUCUACCAUUGGCUAUAAUUACAUUGGCAAGUUUGCUUGUCAACAAGACACAUAACAACGAUGAAUGGGAGAGACUACAAGAGUCCAUUGGUACUGGUUCUUCGCUUGAUAACAAUGAGACCUUCAAAGGGAUGAGACACAUAUUGUUACUUAGUUAUUUGGAUCUUCCGCGCCACCUGAAGACUUGUUUAUUAUACUUGUGUAUAUAUCCAGAGGACUAUGAAAUUGAAUGUGAAGAAUUGAAAUGGAAAUGGAUGGCCGAAGGAUUCAUUGCUACGUAA
rnacentral:rRNA from 1 species